GCCCAGGUGGUGAAAUUGGUAGACACGCUACUUUGAGGGGGUAGUGCCUUUACGGGUGUGCUGGUUCGAGUCCAGUCCUGGGCA
rnacentral:tRNA from 1 species